rnacentral:tRNA from 1 species
AACGAAAUAGUUCAAAUGGUUAGAACGUUGGAAUCAUAAUCCAAAAAUUAUAGGUUCAAAUCCUAUUUUCGUUA